CUAAAGGAUCCCCCAAGGCCAGUCCCCCAGCCCUAAGCUGACAAGCCCCCAGAGCAGCUGCCAUGGCUUGGAGCACGAUGGCCCACUGCUGCCCUGACUCAGGUUCUAAGUAAGGGCCUACGGGGACCCCCCCUUUGUUUACAGAUGGGCCUCAGGCCCAGGCAGCAGGUCUGGAGUGGUCCCCAAGAUCCAGCAUUUCCAACACGCUCCCAGGUGACAUCGAUGCUGCAGCUGGUCUUCCGACCACACCUGGAGUAGCAAGAUUCUACAGCAGCACCACCAAGAGAAAUACAAGCCACCUAUGUAACUUUACAUUUUCUUGUAACUACACUAAAAAUAAUUUUAGUAACAUAUUUUACUUAAUCCAAUAUGUCCAAAACAUGAUCAUGUCAACAGGUAAUCAAGUUAUUAAUGAGAUGGCUUACAUUCUUUUUUUGGUACUAAGUCUUCAAACCCUGGGGUGCAUUUUACACUCACAGCACAUCUCCAUCUGGACAAGCCACAUUUCAAGUGCUCAGUAGCCACAUGUGGCUAGUGGCUACCAUAUUGGACAGCAGAGCUCCAGAAGAUGGGAGGAAAGAGAAAACAGAUGCGGGGAGAGAAGGAUCAAGAACAAGUCAUUGGGGUGAACAUUUGGGACAAUGCAGGAAGAACACAGAGCUGCCAUCAAGAUAAGUGAGUUCUAGACCGAGCCCUGCUUCUACUCAGUGUGUGACCUGAAAGGAGUCAGGGGGAGAAAAGUACCAGCAGGAUGACCUCUACUCAUCCUUCAGAGCUCAACCUAGACAUCACUUCCUCCAGGAAGCCUUCCCCAACUGGGUCAGGCGCCUCUCCUCUGAGCUCCCCCAGCACCCCAUACUGCCGCCUUUCCUGGAUUUACCAGCCCUGCAAGCUGGGAGGUGACUUGGCAUCUUUGUCUGGCCUGUGACUAGUACAGCUGGUGCUCCAUAAACUCUGGCUUAUAGAAUAAGUGUACUUAACAAACCCAGCCAACCACAUGGCCCAGGGCACUCACACGCACAAAUACAAACUCAG
rnacentral:lncRNA from 1 species